rnacentral:rRNA from 1 species
UCCAGACUCCUACGGGAGGCAGCAGUGAGGAAUAUUGGUCAAUGGGCGGAAGCCUGAACCAGCCAAGUCGCGUGAGGGACUAAGGCCCUGCGGGUCGUAAACCUCUUUUGCCGGGGAGCAGUGGUCCGGACGCGUCCGGACCGGGAGAGUGCCCGGAGAAAAAGCAUCGGCUAACUCCGUGCCAGCAGCCGCGGUAAUACGGAGGAUGCGAGCGUUAUCCGGAUUUAUUGGGUUUAAAGGGUGCGUAGGCGGGCAUUUAAGCCGGCGGUCAAAUGUCGGGGCUCAACCCCGGUCGGCCGUUGAAACUGGCGUGCUCGAGUUGGAGAGAAGUAUGCGGAAUUCGUGGUGUAGCGGUGAAAUGCAUAGAUAUCACGAAGAACCCCGAUUGCGAAGGCAGCAUACCGGCUCCACACUGACGCUGAGGCACGAAAGCGUGGGUAUCGAACAGGAUUAGAUACCCGGGUAUUC